AGCUGCCUUGACUGAGUAAGUCAGAGAAGGCUUCCUGGAGGAGAGCGAAGGGUGUGGGGCUGGGUUGAGAUACAGGAAGAUCUGGGUUUGAAUUAUAGUUUGGCUGCUUCCUAGCUGUUUGAUCUUGGACAAAACUUUCAUUCAUUCUAUAUUUUUUGGAGUGUCUACUCCAUGCCAAUCAUGUGUGAAAUGUUGGGAUAACAAAGGCGAAUUCAAUCUGGCUCUCGUCCUCGGAGCUUAAGCAAAUCAUCUGGGGUAGCGUGACCCAUGCUACGAUGGAGGUGGAAUACGGGGCUGCAGGGCGGGGCCACAGGACAUAGUGGGCAGCUUAACCUCCUUGAGCCUCCCUAUCCCUAAUUCACGUGAUGGGGUUUGUAACCACUUCUCACAUCGUUGAGAGAAAAGGGUGAGCCUGACUCAGAGGUGUGGCAAAGGAAGGGCAGGGCAGGCUUUAAGGACAGGGACAGGGCUGUCAGAGGCUGAGGCUAGGGAGGGGCAGGAAGGGGUGUGAGGCAGGGCGGAAGAGAGCAGGGCCCUGGGCAGGUGCUGAGCCAGGUCCUGCAGGUCACCCAGUCGCUUGAGUCCACGAAUGCUGGAGGCAGGCACUGGAGAGCCAGGGUGGUUCAGCCGCAGCUCCUCUGAGCAGGGAGUCAAACAGGGCUGAAACAGACACCAGCUCUCCAGGACCAGCUGGUAAGAGCUUCUCCACUGCCCCCGAGCCCUGACAGGAGGACUCCCACAGUGUGCAUGGAAGCCCAGGGAGCUCGGGGGCUACAGAGGCACCAUUGGCUCUGGAGCCUGCAGCCCAGACAGCCCCCUCCAGAUGUAAUGGGGGAAGGAGCCAGGGACUGGGAGGAAUUCAGAGGUCAGAGGAGGAGCAGUAUCAGGAGAUACUGCCCUCCUGCAACUCCUCCUCCCAGCUGCUCUCCCCUCCUGCUAGUGCCCACAAUGGCUCCCAGCUGCCUCCUAUAAGGAAGCUUUAUUAGCCUGCAGCCUGUACUCCUCCACGCAGCAGAGCUGACAGGACCCCAUUAGUCAGCUUAUUCAACCCUUCCCCUGGUGCACAAACCCUUGCCAAGCUUUUCUGGCAUUUUGCUCAGCCUGCUUGGACCCUCCAAGCAGGUAGGAACUCACUGUUUCACAAAGCAGUGUUAUUAGAAAGGUUUCCCUGACCCUAGCCCCCCACAUCUAAUCUUUCUCAAAUGUGGGCAGACUUGUUCCUGGCCCCUUCUCAUUCCACCAGUGCACACAUGCACAUGCUCCCUCUCUCCAUCCAAGCUCCAGGAAUCAACCUCUACCCUGAACCAGGUCCCUGAGGACCACCACGUGGCUGCAACACAGCAGGUGUGGGGCAGGGCACAAGUGGGCUUAAGGGGGGUAUAAGGGCUGGCAGUUUGCUCAUUGAUUCACUCAACAAACAUGUACUGAGCACCUCUAAAGGGCCAGGGCCUGUGCUAGGCACUGCGGUGCCAUGGUGAGCAAAUCCAGAAAUGGACCCUGCCCUCUAGGAGUUCACAGUCCAGAGGAGAAGCCCGAUGCUGAACAGAGAAUCACAUCCGUGAGCAACACAAAAGGCAAGGCAAACCCUGGGCAGAUGCCCCCGGGACUGUGUGUUAUGGGCCUACAGGAAGCCUCUCCCAAUGAAAAAGCAAUUUUUCAGCCAGAACCUCCACCAGUGUCUUUCAAACUGAGCCUGGACCUGUGGCCUUCCCUGCCUCCACCUGGGCCUCAACCGUCACGACCACCUGGCCUUUGAGAAAUCAAAUGGCUCACGCUGUGUCUCAGAGCUGCAACGAUCCAACGCCCUCCAUCCUUCAGAGGCUGUCUGAGUCCGGGGACACAACUCCCACCCUCCUCUCCUGCCAGCCGCGGCCCGUGGCUGCUCUCUUCACUUCGUCCCGCUUCGCCCCGACUGUGGAUCUACCCGCUCCCUUCUCCCUCAGUCCCCAAAGCACCAGACUCACAGGCCUGCUGUGUGACCCACUUUUACCGACCUUUCGGGGAGAGUAGAGGGCAUUUGUGACUCAGCUCAGAGCAGGAAACACAUCUCACGUCAACUGUCAGACAGCGCUGCUCCGAAUCCCAUCACAGUGCUCCAGCAGGGGGCGUCCUCACCGGCCGCGGCCACAGCCACGGCUCAACCCGGCCUAGCUCCCAGACACCCUCCUUCCACCGCCUGUUUUCCACCGUCCCCGCCUGCUCUUUCAAGCCAGCAGCAAACAACACCCUAAUCCGUGUCUUUAUUAUUCAAAGACCUUAAGCACUCUUUCCCACCUCGUUCCCAUCUUGAUUAUUUCAGGGAAUGAAUUAGGGAUUCACCUUUACAAUCAAAAAAGUUCUCUCAAAGCCAGGCUACUGGAGUUCUAAUUCUGCCUUCCCACUUUUACUAGCUGUGAAAUCUCAGGAAAGUUACUUAACCUCUCUCUGUCUCAUUUUCCUCAUCUUUAAAAAACAGGAUGAUAAUAUUUAGCUCCUAAGAUGGUUGUGAGGAUUUAAGUGAGCUGAUAUAUCCAAGAAUGUCUAGAACAGCGCGUGGCAGAAUGGGCAUUGCAUAUGGGUUUAAUCUUGUAACUGCCAUGUUUCACCAAUUCUAAGGUGUAUCUCGUUUCUCAUCAUAAGAGCUCUUCCGCUCGUGUGGCAGCUGGGAGUGGCCGUCAUUGCCUGCGCAUACCUAAACUUGGUCAGCAGCCAAGUGUUUUGUGAGACCUAAGAAAGGAAGAGCCCCAUAAGUAAAUGGAACUGUUGUGUUGUUUUAUUACCGAGAAAAGGGCAGAAUGAUUGCUAGUCACACGUGAAGCAAGAAAACCCCGGCAAUAAAGCUUGCAGAAUGAGUGGCUGAGGCUUGAAAAUAAAUGGUGGAAACAAUAGUGGACAAUCUUUUAAAGAAUGGCACAUUGCCAAUGCUCCUGAUGGCACAGAAGGUGACACCAUGCAGAAAAUCAAGGCUCUGAGUCAAAGAGGGUUUCAGAAAAAUUGGACUCUGAAUGUGAAGAAAUCUGGGGACUAUUUUAGCCAAUUUGUUUUGCCUAUAAUUUCCUUUUAUGCAUGCAAAAGAGCAAUUCUGAC
rnacentral:lncRNA from 1 species